UGAGAUUUCAAUUUUGCUGUUUAUGGCUGGCCAUUAUUAAUAAUUAAAGCAAACAUUUUUAAUCACAUUCUUGGUGUCCUAGACAACAAAGCUUAAAUCUUUGUAAAUCAGUGACUACAUCAUUAGUUGUUUAAUGAUAGUGAUAAGCAGCUGGACAUUCUAUGAUGGGUUGCAGUAUGACAUGUUUUGUUUUGUAUUUUGUCUGUGAUAUUGUCAAUUUUACAAGGAUAUUAUCCUAUGUACUUGCUGCAUGCCUCAUCAAAUGCAGGCCUCUGCUCUAGUCUUGCAUGUUUUGUUCAUUGUUGUAAACUCAUUAUUCUUUUUGUAAUGUUCACAUAUAACAGACUCGUAUUCAUAAUCAGGGGUAAUCAUUGUUUUGCAAGGCAAAGAAAAAAUCAUAAUUCUAUUACUUUUAUCUGUAUCUAUGUUAAAUAACUACACGUAUGCAUGUAUAUAUGUUCAUUUAUAUGUGCAUCAGACAUUUUGGUAUUGUAUGCUUUCUGUCUCAUUAAUUUUUCUUUGACUAUACUAGUGUAUAAGAGCGUUUUACAAAAAAAUCUUACUGAGUGAAGCUCCCAAACAUCCACUUGAUUUCACAAAAGAAAAAAAAAUGUUGUAACCGUCGACUUUCAUUUUGACUCCUAGCUAUAUUAUUAUGGUGCAUCUUUGCAAGCCCAGUGGACCGAAAAAUCCUUGGAUAUCGAAGAUGGUUGUAGUAUUGACUGUUCAGAACAUAUAUUGCAUGAAAGAUAGAACUACCGCUACCAGGAUAGUUGCAGUAUUUUUUCACAUUAAAACUACCGGGUAUAUAUAAACUCCUGCAGCUAAGUCCAUUGUGCAUUUUUUGCUUUGUCCUUCAUUACAGUGUAUUUAUAUCUGAAGAUCCUUUGUAUCAAAUACAUGACUUUCAAAUAUUGCUAAUGAAAUCUAUUCUCAAUGUGAAUUAUGUAGCAUUAUGUUGAACCAGUUGCUUUGUUUUCUUUAAGAUUAAAUUAUUGAUGUAUUUAAUUUAUUAAAGCAGGCCUGGGGAUCUGACAUACUGAACAGAGUUUUUUAAAUGAUCUUUAAUAUCUGUAACUAAUGGUAUUACUUUUCUAUAAAUGAAAAAGACCACAUGUGAUGUAGUUUCAUUCCAGAUUUGUUUUGUUCUGUGUGGGGUAUAUAUCUAAUAGUACCUGCAAGUGCUAGUAAAGGUGAAUGUUUUAUUGUGAUAUAUGUUUCUGGUCAUAAAAUACUGUUUAUUUGCUGUUGAGAAAUAAAUUAUUGUAAAUAUU
rnacentral:sRNA from 1 species